UACGGAGGGUGCGAGCGUUGUCCGGAAUCACUGGGCGUAAAGGGCGCGUAGGUGGCGAGGCAAGCGUGCGGUGAAAGCUCGGGGCUCAACCCCGAGUCGGCCGUGCGAACUGCUUUGCUUGAGCACUGUAGAGGCAGGCGGAAUUCCGGGUGUAGCGGUGGAAUGCGUAGAGAUCCGGAAGAACACCGGUGGCGAAGGCGGCCUGCUGGGCAGUAGCUGACACUGAGGCGCGACAGCGUGGGGAGCAAACAGG
rnacentral:rRNA from 1 species